rnacentral:rRNA from 1 species
UACAGAGGAGCCAAGCGUUGUCCGGAUUCACUGGGCGUAAAGGGUGCGUAGGCGGUCAUUUAAGUCUGACGUGAAAUCUCCGGGCCUAACCCGGAAACUGCGUUGGAAACUAUCUGACUAGAGGAAUGGAGGGGAGACUGGAAUACUUGGUGUAGCAGUGAAAUGCGUAGAUAUCAAGUGGAACACCAGUGGCGAAGGCGAGUCUCUGGACAUUUCCUGACGCUGAGGCACGAAAGCCAGGGGAGCAAACGGG